AUUCUGCCAGGAAUCCAGCUGACCGAAUUACCCACACUUGCCCACCUUAGGCCUUCAUUCGCAGCAGGCAUGUGUGCCUGGGUUUGUUACCAGCAGCCAUUUUCUCACCCUUAAAUGAGGGAUGGGUCUCCCCUUUUCUUUUUCUCAUUUUCCUAGAGGUUACAAGAUUCCUGUUUUUCUCACCAGGAGGAGAGGUCAGCCUCAGUGAGCUCAUAGCAGUCAUACAUUGCCAGUGUUUUUCCUCAAGUGGAAGGAGAAAGGCCUUCAGAAAAAAAAUCGUAUGCAAACCUAGUGCUACCACCAGCAGUAGCUCUGAAUCGAGAUUUUUGGGAGAAUUAGGCUUACUAAAGAUAAACUACAAUAAGUCUCAAGGAAGCAAAUAAUUCUGAUUCUAAUGAGGAAUCCAAGAAUAAAGGCAGCUCUUAAGACCAAGUACUCUGACUAGAAAAUAUCCUCAUAUUUGAUGGAAGACAGCAUGAGACGGAGAACCAAGUUCCUUAAAGUACGGAAGUGAACUGUCUGUGGGUGACUUGCCUGGAUGCCGGCUAUAGCUGCAGCCCCCAAAGUCGAAGCUACCAGAACAGGUUGGAUGAGGAUGGCCCAAAGAUUAUGGAGUUGCUGGCCCCAAAGCAAGUCAGACACUAUGGGAAGUUUGCAUGAAUCAUGCCCUUGGAUAGACAACCUAAAUCAUACCUCAUCGAGCAUGGAUCCUGGUCAGCAUACCAAGUCAAGGCAAGUAAAGACUGAAGAAAUAUCACCUGGUCUGCAGCUCCCCCCAGAACGAAGUCUGCUACUGAUGGCAGAAGCAUAGAUAGACCAAGGGUAUCACUAUGUAAUGAUGGAAGAAGGAAAAACCCCAUGCAUUCACUCAUGUCUUGAAUCACCUAGAGAAGAGAGGGAAUCUGCCAAAGUGGACACAAUAGAAAUUCAGUUCUAAAUUUGGAGGAAAUGAGGCCCACUCUCAGAUAAGAUGAAAAGUAAAAGCCCUAGGAUCCAAUGGGGUAUUAAACAAAUAUUUAAAAGUA